rnacentral:rRNA from 1 species
AGCGAACGCUGGCGGCAGGCCUAACACAUGCAAGUCGAACGAACUCUUCGGAGUUAGUGGCGGACGGGUGAGUAACACGUGGGAACGGGCCUUUUGGUUCGGAAUAACUCAGGGACACUUGUGCUAAUACCGAAUGGGCCCUUCGGGGGGAAGAUUUAUCGCGAUUAGAGGGGCCCGCGUCGGAUUAGCUCGUUGGGUAGGUAACGGCUCCCCAAGGCGACGAUCAGUAGCUGGUCUGAGAGGCGGGGCAGCCACACUGAGACUGAGACGCGGCCGGGACUCCUACGGGAGGCGGGAGUGGGGAAUCUUGCGCAAUGGGCGGAAGGAUGACGCAGCCAUGCUGGGUGAAUGAUGAAGGUCUUAGGAUUGUAAAGUUCUUUCACCGGGGACGAUAAUGACGGUACCCGGAGAAGAAGCCCCGGCUAACUUCGUG